rnacentral:lncRNA from 1 species
CUGCUGCCACUGGGCUACUUAGUACUUUCCCGGGUAGAAGUGACUGUGCCACCAAUUUUCUGUGUGGCCUUCACUAAAUCAUUCUCGGUCUUUCUUUCAUAUCUUUGCAGUAUAGUAGGAUUAUUUUUAAAUAGUCCCCUUUAAAUAUUUUUAAAAUGUGCCCAUGCUAAUAAAUUCAUUCUUUAGUCUUUCAAGAUUGUACAUUUGAACAUCUGAAUAUCACUAAUAUUACUCAUCUGUUAUGCUGUUCCAUCUCUUGAGAUACUGUAUCACUAAAUGUGAUACAAUUUAGAAACAUUAUAUCAUAUGGUGAACAACACUAUAAAGACGACUUUUCAAAUUUCUAUUAACAUAGGCCUAUAACUGAAGAACUAAACAUUUUUGAAUAAAUAAUGUUGCCAAUAACAUUUUCUACAUAUUUUGGUCUUGCAAUCAAUGUGAGGAAUGCACAGUUGGAUCUGGAUACUCAGAGCAAUUUAUUUCCUCUUACAAGUCUACCAUUGAUAGUUUAAAUGCUAAUGGCCAAGAUAUACAAGCCAAAGGGUCCGUGGUGUGAAUGCAGGGCUUGCCUGAUCACCAGACUCCCUUCCCAACCUCUCCUCUGAAGAAGGAGAAAGUUCUUGAAAAAGCUCAAAAAUGCGUUUUGGCAAGCACAAGAGAUGCAGCCUAGCAGCAUGAAUUAAGAGACUUGUGACCGUGGAAAAGAACUGUAAAUUUUAAAUGGCUUUGGCCCUUCUUAGCUUUUGACCAGCUGACCUUGACAUUCCUUAGAGGCCAAAGGAUAAGAUGCAGUGAAGACAGUGCUGCCUAGCCAUUUCCCCUCAGGGGGCAGCACCAGUCCUUCCAGCAGUGGAUGAAGUCUAUCCAGUGUGUCUUGGGGAGAACUGUAAUAAAUGAGGCUCCCUCCCUGAGAAAUGACUAAAACCACGAAAAUAAAUUCUUAGAUGAAACAGUUCAAUUAUCUAAUGUAAUUACUCCUAAGGAAAAAAUGAGAGAAAUUUAUCAUAGCUACAUGAAGUUUCCAAUGUGGUUAUAUAUGACUGUGUAUAGUCAACAGUUAUUCAUCUGGCGUUCUGUCAAACAGAGUUUUCUAUAAUAUGGUAUCUGUGACUGUUUCCAAUACAAUAAAAAUGCUGCAAAAUCUUGAAAUGCUUUUCAAAAGAAGAAUACUUUAUAGUAUAGUGUGUACAGCUGUAGUAUUGAGCUUAUUUUGCUGUACUUUAUUAAUCUUUUCCAAAACAUGUAAAUAAUGAAGUUUGUUGCACACCACAUCUGGAUUUCAUGAUUAUACUGUAAGACUUAUAUAGUAGAUGGCCCUUCAUUUAGGGAAGUAGUAUAUACACCAGAAUAUGCCUUUUCUUUUUAAGAUUUAAACAACGGAAAAAGCCACUGAAGUAUGUAUAGUAUCUGUGCGCCGAGAUACACAGGAAAGCAUGGAACAUGUGGAUGGAAGGAACCGGGAUCAUCUCAUCCAGCUGAGUAAUAAGUACGUUUGGUGCAGUGCCACACAGGAGGCCACCAACAGAGCCCAGAGUAGUAACUAGGUUGCUUCACUCUUAGCCUCUCAAGUGAUGACACCAAGGCAUGAUCUUAUCUCUUGAUUGUGGCCACCCGUAAAGAAAAGCGUAUCUCUAAUCUCAGAAGCACAAGGAGUUCAUACCAGGAAACCAAGAUUAGAACAUCAUGCUAUCGUCUUUCAAAAUUACUAUGUAGGAUCAGUGGAACACUAGACACUGACAGAGUGGGCCCUGCAUCCUUCACUGCUUCCUCAUGGAGGGAUUUCCAGGACAGGGGCCCUCUUUGCCUGUCUCCGCCCUUGGUGGCGAAUAUGGGUGGGGGAUGGAUCUGGGCAUGCUCACAUCAGCCCCUCCCUUGCUCUUCUCUCUUUGGAUCUUGCUUGCAGUGAGAGGGCUUUUUCUUCCUGUUUUUUGGAGGGUGAGAUCUGCGCGGAGCUGUUCAAUGCUGCCUGGACUGGGUAUUAGUAUGCUUAGCUCAAGGUGAAGUAUAAGCCAACUCAUGAGGCCCAGCAGUGCAUCCCCUUUCUUCUCUGAGUUCUCCCCAGUACAAAUCUGGUGCUUGGAUCUCUUUCUGACUCCUCAGUUUAUCUGUCAAAUGGUUCCAAACUUGAGUAGGGUGAGAGGAUCAUCCCCCGUCAAAUGUACAUUAUUCAUACACUGUAAUGGCGUAAAAGAACCCUAGACACAUGGACUCCCUUGCUAAUAAGUGCACCUUCAAAGCGAUAGUCAUUAUUUAGCAUUUAUCGGAAGAGGCUGGCCCCAGCUCUGGUGAAGGGCAGAGAAGGUGUGGGUGGCCUCACGUGUUCUCAAUGUCACAAAAUGAUAGCAUUAAACAGACCCACUCCCUCAUGGAAGGCAAUUUGACGACCUUCUAUUGAUAUUGCAACAUGUGUCUCUGGCAGCAGAUCUCAAUCCUUAUGUAAGGGAUAUGGGAAGACUUCCUCCACUUCAUGUAUAUGCUUUCCCUAAGCAGAUCUGGCAGAUGCAAAUUUAUCCAUAUCUUUUCAUUUCCAUUGAAGUUUUAGUAUCCACAUCCCCUCCUGAAGACAGAAAACUUGUCUUUGUAACCCUUUUUAUUUCAGCUGAUCUAAAUAAUUAGUUCAGAUUUACCCUGACAAAUGGCUUUUACCAUUUUUAGUUUCUUACCCUGUAACAAAAUACUGCCAUCAAGUUUUGAUUAUGAAAAUGGCUGAAGGCAAGGGACCAUAUGAGAGAGCGCAAUCAACAACAUAGUCUUUUUGCCCAACAGAAUUGGACAUUUUUGGCUUAGAGAAUUAAAGCACAAUGACUGUUCCUGAAAAUCAGUACAGUAGUCAUAAUAAAACUUUUUUCUUGGCUGGGCACAGUGUUGCAUGCCUGUAAUCUCAGCACUUUGGGAGGUUGAGGU